rnacentral:rRNA from 1 species
GGUUAAGCGACUAAGCGUACACGGUGGAUGCCCUGGCAGUCAGAGGCGAUGAAGGACGUGCUAAUCUGCGAAAAGCGUCGGUAAGGUGAUAUGAACCGUUACAGCCGGCGAUGUCCGAAUGGGGAAACCCAGUGCAAUUCGUUGCACUAUCGUUUGAUGAAUACAUAGUCAAACGAGGCGAACCGGGGAACUGAAACAUCUAAGUACCCCGAGGAAAAGAAAUCAACCGAGAUUCCCCAGUAGCGGCGAGCGAACGGGGAGCAGCCCGGAGUCUGAAUCAGCUUGUGUGUUAGUGGAAGCGUCUGGAAAGUCGCAGGGUACAGGGUGAUACUCCCGUACACUAAAACACACAGGUUGUGAACUCGAAGAGUAGGGCGGGACACGUGGUAUCCUGUCUGAAUAUGGGGGGACCAUCCUCCAAGGCUAAAUACUCCUGACUGACCGAUAGUGAACCAGUACCGUGAGGGAAAGGCGAAAAGAACCCCGGCGAGGGGAGUGAAAAAGAACCUGAAACCGUGUACGUACAAGCAGUAGGAGCCCACUAGUUGGGUGACUGCGUACCUUUUGUAUAAUGGGUCAGCGACUUAUAUUCUGUAGCAAGGUUAACCGUAUAGGGGAGCCGCAGGGAAACCGAGUCUUAACUGGGCGUUAAGUUGCAGGGUAUAGACCCGAAACCCGGUGAUCUAGCCAUGGGCAGGUUGAAGGUUGGGUAACACUAACUGGAGGACCGAACCGACUAAUGUUGAAAAAUUAGCGGAUGACUUGUGGCUGGGGGUGAAAGGCCAAUCAAACCGGGAGAUAGCUGGUUCUCCCCGAAAGCUAUUUAGGUAGCGCCUCGUGAAUUCAUCUUCGGGGGUAGAGCACUGUUUCGGCUAGGGGGUCAUCCCGACUUACCAACCCGAUGCAAACUACGAAUACCGAAGAAUGUUAUCACGGGAGACACACGGCGGGUGCUAACGUCCGUCGUGAAGAGGGAAACAACCCAGACCGCCAGCUAAGGUCCCAAAGUCAUGGUUAAGUGGGAAACGAUGUGGGAAGGCCCAGACAGCCAGGAUGUUGGCUUAGAAGCAGCCAUCAUUUAAAGAAAGCGUAAUAGCUCACUGGUCGAGUCGGCCUGCGCGGAAGAUGUAACGGGGCUAAACCAUGCACCGAAGCUGCGGCAGCGACACUAUGUGUUGUUGGGUAGGGGAGCGUUCUGUAAGCCGUUGAAGGUGGCCUGUGAGGGUUGCUGGAGGUAUCAGAAGUGCGAAUGCUGACAUAAGUAACGAUAAUGCGGGUGAAAAACCCGCACGCCGGAAGACCAAGGGUUCCUGUCCAACGUUAAUCGGGGCAGGGUGAGUCGACCCCUAAGGCGAGGCCGAAAGGCGUAGUCGAUGGGAAACAGGUUAAUAUUCCUGUACUUGGUGUUACUGCGAAGGGGGACGGAGAAGGCUAUGUUGGCCGGGCGACGGUUGUCCCGGUUUAAGCGUGUAGGUGUGUGUUCCAGGUAAAUCCGGUUCACUUUAACACUGAGGCGUGAUGACGAGGCACUACGGUGCUGAAGUGACAAAUGCCCUGCUUCCAGGAAAAGCCUCUAAGCAUCAGGUAACAUCAAAUCGUACCCCAAACCGACACAGGUGGUCAGGUAGAGAAUACCAAGGCGCUUGAGAGAACUCGGGUGAAGGAACUAGGCAAAAUGGUGCCGUAACUUCGGGAGAAGGCACGCUGAUGGUAAGUGAAGCGACUUGCUCGUGGAGCUGAAAUCAGUCGAAGAUACCAGCUGGCUGCAACUGUUUAUUAAAAACACAGCACUGUGCAAACACGAAAGUGGACGUAUACGGUGUGACGCCUGCCCGGUGCCGGAAGGUUAAUUGAUGGGGUUAUCCUCGCGGAGAAGCUCUUGAUCGAAGCCCCGGUAAACGGCGGCCGUAACUAUAACGGUCCUAAGGUAGCGAAAUUCCUUGUCGGGUAAGUUCCGACCUGCACGAAUGGCGUAAUGAUGGCCAGGCUGUCUCCACCCGAGACUCAGUGAAAUUGAACUCGCUGUGAAGAUGCAGUGUACCCGCGGCAAGACGGAAAGACCCCGUGAACCUUUACUAUAGCUUGACACUGAACACUGGUCCUUGAUGUGUAGGAUAGGUGGGAGGCUUUGAAGUGUGGACGCCAGUCUGCAUGGAGCCAUCCUUGAAAUACCACCCUUUAAUGGCUGGUGUUCUAACGUGGGCCCCUAAUCGGGGUUGCGGACAGUGUCUGGUGGGUAGUUUGACUGGGGCGGUCUCCUCCUAAAGAGUAACGGAGGAGCACGAAGGUCAGCUAAUCCUGGUCGGACAUCAGGAGGUUAGUGCAAUGGCAUAAGCUGGCUUGACUGCGAGCGUGACGGCGCGAGCAGGUGCGAAAGCAGGUCAUAGUGAUCCGGUGGUUCUGAAUGGAAGGGCCAUCGCUCAACGGAUAAAAGGUACUCCGGGGAUAACAGGCUGAUACCGCCCAAGAGUUCAUAUCGACGGCGGUGUUUGGCACCUCGAUGUCGGCUCAUCACAUCCUGGGGCUGAAGUAGGUCCCAAGGGUAUGGCUGUUCGCCAUUUAAAGUGGUACGCGAGCUGGGUUUAGAACGUCGUGAGACAGUUCGGUCCCUAUCUGCCGUGGGCGCUGGAGAAUUGAGGGGGCUGCUCCUAGUACGAGAGGACCGGAGUGGACGCAUCACUGGUGUUCGGGUUGUCAUGCCAAUGGCAUUGCCCGGUAGCUAAAUGCGGAAGAGAUAAGUGCUGAAAGCAUCUAAGCACGAAACUUGCCCCGAGAUGAGUUCUCCCUGACCCUUUAAGGGUCCUGAAGGAACGUUGAAGACGACGACGUUGAUAGGCCGGGUGUGUAAGCGCAGCGAUGCGUUGAGCUAACCGGUACUAAUGAACCGUGAGGCUUAACCUU